CACAUGGGUUAGUCGAUCCU
rnacentral:sRNA from 1 species